AGAUUUAUACAGGUAGUUUGUCCCUAUGUUUAUGUACUGUCUAUAGAUUUAUACAGGUAGUUUGUCCCUAUGUUUAUGUACUGUCUAUAGAUUUAUACAGGGUAGUUUGUCCCUAUGUUUAUGUACUGUCUAUAGAUUUAUACAGGUAGUUUGUCCCUAUGUUUAUGUACUGUCUUUAGAUUCAUACAGGUACUUUGUCCCUA